CGCUUAUGAUUGCUUCGGCUUGAAGAUGGAGAAGCCGGCAACGGCUAGUACAUGGUCAAAUCUAUGGACUUCUUUAUCGGACGACAAUUUGAAAGGGUACAUGAACACCUUUCAGGAGGCCGAAAAUGUGCGAAAGGCUUUCGAGGUGGAAAAGUCCUUGACUUUUGUUUCGGGAAAAAAAGAAUCUCUGUUCGGAAAACACGAGGGCAUACCAAAGAAAUCAAGAGUAAGGUUUUACGAUGUUGGAAAUGACGUACGUGCCUAAUAUAAUGGUAUGCCCUUCAUCAUAUGUUCCAAGUAUGAGAGGAACUGUGUUUAUGGAGUGGAUAAACACAAGCGAGCCACGGAAAAACAAAAGAUUUUGAAUGAAGAUGAGUUGAAGCACAAAAUCAUGUUGACAGAAUAUGGUAUCAAAUUACAUACUAGCAAAAGUAUAAGGAUUCAACUUAACUGAUGUUGAUAUCAAAUCUUUGAAGAGGGGUCAGUGGCUGACAGAUCAGGUUAUGGAUGGUUACCUAGCCUGUUUGACACAAAAGGAAAUUGAUAAAGGGUUAAAGGUCAAACAUGAAGUUGUAUCGACAAUGACCAACAUAAUAGAUGAUAAACAUGUGCCAAAUAAGAAGUGCAGAAUCAUGAAGUAUGACUACGGUAUAUCAUUGGAGCUUAUCACCAGCGUGGAGGUCACUGAGAUAUAGUGAUUGUGGAACCAAAAAGAGGAGCAGUUUAUUUUUAUAAUCCGCUGGGGGAAACUGCAUUUCAACAGAGAAGAGCUAUCAACAGUUGGAGGAAUUAUGUGAAUAGAAGCAUGGUUUUCAAUACAUCAUUGCAUUUGGAAUCAAAGCCACAUAGAUAGCUGCAACUGUGGAGUAUACUUUAAUGGUAAGUAAAUUUCAGGAGAUUCAUUGCUUGACAUCUCUCUAAAAGAUGUUGAAGCAAAGAGAAGGGAGAUAGGAUGUACCUUUCUGCUUUAUGAAGGUAACAAUGAAGAGAAACUUCAAAUUUAAAAAAAUAUUUGUGUUAAUAUUUAUAGUUUAGAAUGAUAAUUAUGUUUAAUAUGAACAAUUUAAUAGUUUGAAACCUUAUCUGUUACUCAAUGUAAAGAUAUUAUUACACCCUGUAAUAGUAUUAUCUGUUACUCAAUGUAAAGAUAUA